rnacentral:rRNA from 1 species
GCGGUAAUACGUAGGGGGCAAGCGUUGUCCGGAAUUAUUGGGCGUAAAGCGCGCGCAGGCGGUUUUUUAAGUCUGGUGUUUAAGCCCGGGGCUCAACCCCGGUUCGCACCGGAAACUGGAAGACUUGAGUGCAGGAGAGGAAAGCGGAAUUCCACGUGUAGCGGUGAAAUGCGUAGAGAUGUGGAGGAACACCAGUGGCGAAGGCGGCUUUCUGGACUGUAACUGACGCUGAGGCGCGAAAGCGUGGGGAGCAAACAGGAUU